GGAGCCCGGGCCCGGCCUCUCCCCGGCGCCCCGGCCGGGCCGCCUCGCCAGGAUUAGUCUCUCAAGACUCGGCUCAUUUGGGACAUCGUCAGGGGAGCCUUUCCUGACUUCCAGCCUCCUAGCCCUCGGGGAAAAGGGAAAUUUGACCAUAGACACAAGGAGAACACCAUGUGAGGGCAGAGACACACAGGGAGAAGGCCACGUGACAACGGGCAGAGAUUGAAGUGCUGGAGCUCAAGCCAAGGACAGAUGAGGACUGCAAGAACACGCCAAGAGAGUAAACUGCUCUUUCCUAUUUUUAAGAAUUGGCUCAACCUCCCACUCUCCAUCACCAUCACCUCCAGACCAACUCGCUACCACUGUUGAGAUUCAUCAGACCUUCCUCCAGCCAAGAAAAAGUCAGCGGCUUCCCAUUUUCCUCGCAAGUUGAAACUUCCCUGCCGCGCACUAACCGCCCCCGUAGGUCUGGCCUUGCCCUUCCCUGCCAGGCCCGCGCUUGGCUUCAUUUCAGGGCCUGGCACUCGCAGUCCCCUCUGGCAGGGACUUUUCUGAGACCGGAAAUGCUGUUGGUCUCGUUCACCUCUGUACCCACGACUUGGAACAGUAACCCGAUUGGGCGAUUGAUUAUAGACUCAUAAGUCAUGUGAGAGACCCGCUGAGUCUGUUAAUUAUAAUUCUGCAACCGGCAGGGUCCAGUGCGAGGUCUGACUUUUUAGCUGGAUUGGCUCUGUGGCUCUAAGGGACAAGAGGUUCUCUUUGGCUAUUGUAGAAGCUUUAUGGUUCUCGAAACUUGAUAUUUGUUGAGAUAUGAAAGCCCUGAGCUUGUCAUUUUGUUUUUUUUUUUCCCCUCUGUGAACUCACCAGUGUGUUCAGAGGCAGCCAGCCCAUCCAGAACCUUUAUAUUCAUCAUCCCCACCAAAAUGGUCGAAUACAGCCAGCACGUGGUCUCCUCGAGUCUUGCCUUCCAUAAGCACUUCAUCCCAAGCAUCCAGUGGUGAUAAUUUAAGUAACCGUUUGCCACCACAUACUCUGCACUACCCACUUCCCACUUCCCACUGAGGUUAUCACUGCAUUCAGGCCAAAUCUACUCAGAUAGCCAGUCCGGAUUCCUGUCUUUGAGUCAGUUUCCUGGGGCUAUUUUAGGAGCUGAGCCUUCGUUUGGUCUGGAAGCAAAAACUACUCUAGGGUAUUUAAACAGAGGGAAUGUAGCACAGGAAAUUGGUGGCGAAGGUCUUGGAACAGUGGAAGAGCGCAGAGGAGCGGGCCGAGUUCCUCCAAGCUUUGCCAUUUGAGGAAGCCACUCCACCCUGAGGGCUGGACGCACAGAGAGCACGGUGUCACCCGGGGCCUGUCAUGUGACUGCUGUGCUGCUGAGGCUGCUGCGGGGACUGGCUGCCAGAGCAGGAGUCCAGGAGCCCUCACUCGCUCCCGCCAUGGCUGCUGCCACCACCUUUACUGCUUUUGUCACUGCUGUCAUUGUCCCUGUUGCUGCCGCAGAAUCAGGAACAAGGAAGGUUUCUCCCUUCUCCUGCUUUCCAGUCUCCUCCCAGUGGUGAUGGGGUGGAUUUGACCUGGGACACAGCAGAACUCUGGGUGGGGCACAUAUUUUUAGCAACGGAGCCUACAACAAGCAUAAGCCAGAAAUAAGACAUUCAUCCACUUAACUGGACUGUUGAAGUAGUAACGGAUAGCCCUGAGGUGAGUGAGUUACCUAAUGGGCCUACCUGUGUUCUGCCUGCGAGGUUGUCUCUGUGCUGGAGGCUGGAUGAACACAAGGAUAUUGAUCUCCAGAAUUACAAGAGCUUCUAACAAUUGGAGAUAGUCUAGGUCCUCUGGCAACUUGAAAAAUGACUAGGGAAGAACAGAGAGGGCCCCGUAACCCAAAAUUGAUCUGGAAACAAUGCCAGAGGUGUCCAGUGUUAAGAAAUGGUCCCUUUUCCUUGUCUUUCCUGGGCCUUGCCUGGUAACUGUACCAUAAAUAUCCUAAAGGGGGCAGUGCUGAGAGUCAGGGGGAGGCAGUAAUCUAAAAAGGAAGACAGAUUGGAAGGCUGUAGACAGGAGCAAUCGAUGCACUGAAAAAAAAAACAACAAAAAAACAAUGAAGGCUAAAUGUAUUAAUCACCAGUUAAGGGCUAAGUGUGAAAGCUGCAGCCAGAUGGCAGAAUAAAUCUGAGGAUCAGGCUCAGAUCUUAAUUAUAA